rnacentral:rRNA from 1 species
CCUACGGGAGGCAGCAGUGAGGAAUAUUGGUCAAUGGGCUUACGCCUGAACCAGCCAAGUCGCGUGAGGGAAGACUGCCCUAUGGGUUGUAAACCUCUUUUGUCAGGGAGCAACGCCGGCUACGUGUAGCCGGACUGAGAGUACCUGAAGAAAAAGCAUCGGCUAACUCCGUGCCAGCAGCCGCGGUAAUACGGAGGAUGCGAGCGUUAUCCGGAUUUAUUGGGUUUAAAGGGUGCGUAGGCGGAAUGCCAAGUCAGCGGUAAAAUCGCGGGGCUCAACCUGUGGCCUGCAUUUGAAACUGUAGUUCUUGAGUACUGGAGAGGCAGACGGAAUUCCUAGUGUAGCGGUGAAAUGCGUAGAUAUUAGGAGGAACACCAGUGGCGAAGGCGGUCUGCUGGACAGCAACUGACGCUGAGGCGCGAAAGCGUGGGGAGCAAACAGGAUUAGAUACCCCGGUAGUC